rnacentral:rRNA from 1 species
CAGCCGCCACGGGAAUACGUAGGUCCCGAGCGUUGUCCGGACUUAUUGGGCGUAAAGGGAGCGCAGGCGGUUUAGUAAGUCUGAAGUUAAAGGCAUUGGCUCAACCAAUGUAUGCUUUGGAAACUGUUAGACUUGAGUGCAGAAGGGGAGAGUGGAAUUCCAUGUGUAGCGGUGAAAUGCGUAGAUAUAUGGAAGAACACCAGUGGCGAAGGCGACUUUCUGGACGAAAACUGACGCUGAGGCGCGAAAGCCAGGGGAGCGGACGGGAUUAGAUACCCCUGUAGUCCCUGUCUCUUAUACA